rnacentral:tRNA from 1 species
GGUGGCGCAGUGGUUAAAGUGUUUGUCUGGUAAUCAAAAUGUUGGUGGUUCAAACCCACCAGCCA